GACGAACGCUGGCGGCGUGCUUAACACAUGCAAGUCGAACGAUGAACUUGGAGCUUGCUCUGGGGGAUUAGUGGCGAACGGGUGAGUAACACGUGAGUAACCUGCCCUGGACUCUGGGAUAACUUCGAGAAAUCGGAGCUAAUACCGGAUAGGACCUUGCACCGCAUGGUGUGGGGUGGAAAGUUUUUCGGUUUGGGAUGGACUCGCGGCCUAUCAGCUUGUUGGUGAGGUAAUGGCUCACCAAGGCGUCGACGGGUAGCCGGCCUGAGAGGGUGACCGGCCACACUUGGACUGAGACACGGGCCAGACUCCUACGGGAGGCAGCAGUGGGGAAUAUUGCACAAUGGGCGCAAGCCUGAUGCAGCAACGCCGCGUGAGGGACGACGGCCUUCGGGUUGUAAACCUCUUUCAGCAGGGAAGAAGCGAAAGUGACGGUACCUGCAGAAGAAGCACCGGCUAACUACGUGCCAGCGGCCGCGGUAACAC
rnacentral:rRNA from 1 species